rnacentral:misc_RNA from 1 species
AUUCGUGAGGGAUUGAGGCGGUAUCUUUUUGCGUAAUGAAAUAGAGUAAAAAAUAUAGUCAAAAACCCGAUUCGCU